GACAUUUUGCUAUAUUUUCUUUAGUCUGAUAGUUUGCCCUUUUUUCAGAAUCAGAAACACUUUAUUGAUCUCCUGUAUUGUUUUUUAUUCUAUCCUUAUCCAAUGUGAUACGUAGUUUAUUUUUUCAUAUUUUCCUUUCUUUUCUGUUGUGAUAUUUUGUUGUGUUUGCUAUUAUAUUGUUAUAUUUUUCUGUAUUUUCUAUUCUAUUGUGAGAUUUUGCUUUAUUUCUUCGAAUCUAUUGUGAGAUUUUGCUUUAUUUGUCCUAUCCUGAUCAUUUAUUUUAUUUAUUACAUUCUAAUAUUUUGCUGUAUUUUCGACUCUAUUCCAACAUUUUGCCUUAAAUUCUUCCAUUCAGAUACUUUUCUGUAUUUUCUGUUAUAUUGUGAUAUAUUGCUUCAUUUUUUUUACUUUCUAACUUUUUUGCUUUAUUUUUUAUUCAAUCGCAAAAUGUUGCUUCUUUUUUUUAUUGCGAUGUGUUCCUUCAAUGUCCUCUGUUGUGACGUUUUGCUUUGUUUUCUAUUCUACUCUGAUAUUUUGAUUUAUUCAUUCUAUUGUGACAUUCUGCAUUUUAUUCCAUUCCGUUCUGUUCUACUGUGUUCUGUUGUGUUCUACUGCACUGGGUUCUGUUCUGUUCUGUAUUGUUCUCGAGGUCAUGCUCCACUUUAGUGCUGCUGGUGGUGACGCUCGUGUGGCUUCAGUCAGCUGUUUCAUGUAGACAAGACAAGCCGACAAUAAUACCGGAAAAUGGGCGAUUAUCUUAUCAAAAUAAAAUAAAUCACCUGAUGCUUUGUCCUGAAGGACCUAUUAUUUUUCCGAAUAGUAACUAAAACUUUUUAUGUGAGGUAUUUUGGAGUCAUAUAAAAUCUUUUAUUCAGAUUUCUACUCGUUUAAGCACUUUCUUUUACUACAAUAUAUUGUAAUUGAUGUUAGAAUAGAACCGUUUUAUUUUUAAGGGAUUGACCGGAAGAGAUUUUCGUGAUUUACACUAACUUGACGCCAAACAGCAAUGUCCGACUUUUAACCUGACAGGAACGAGCCUGGCGGCUUCUCCUAAACUACAUAUUUCCCUACUCCAGCAACAGCAGGGCGGAUGUUCAUCAUCAUCUGCAUCAUCUCGGUAACAUCUGACAGCCGCCGUGCAGUGGGGCCAAUAAGCGGCGGAUGCGGCUGGCGCCCGGCCGCGGGCGGCCCUCUCAAUGGUCUCUCCCACCAUGAAAGCGUUGGUGGAUGCUGUGUGGGCGGUGUGGAGCAUCGGGGCCUCCAUCUAUGACUACAUCCACACCAACGCCAUGGAGGAGCGCAUCCACGCCCUGGAGAACGUCAUCACCAUCCACCAGUGUGUGAUUGGACUCCUGUCCGCAGGCGUGUUGGUACUCUUCACCUACAUCCUCUUCAAGAAGCUCUGAAGAUGUGACGGGCCGGGUGGCAACAUGGGGGAGGCGGACCGACCAGAAUCAGACAUUAGUGCAAAACACUGACCUGACAGAUGAAGAGGCUAUUUUUACACAUCAAGUCCAUCAGACAGGCUCAUAAGAGCUUUUUUACUUUUUUAACAUCAGUCUGUUUGGAGAAAACACACAGAGGUUCAUGUCCUCUCUCAGUAAUGUACAACUACAGCAGGUGAGCAUGUGGUCGCCACAGGCUCCAGCUGUUAUUCAGAGGCCUGUAUAGAUUCUUUUUUGUACUGACA